rnacentral:rRNA from 1 species
CCUACGGGAGGCAGCAGUGGGGAAUAUUGGGCAAUGGAGGAAACUCUGACCCAGCGACGCCGCGUGCGGGAUGAAGGCCUUCGGGUUGUAAACCGCUUUCAGCAGGGAAGAAGCGAAAGUGACGGUACCUGCAGAAGAAGCACCGGCUAACUAUGUGCCAGCAGCCGCGGUAAUACAUAGGGUGCAAGCGUUGUCCGGAAUUAUUGGGCGUAAAGAGCUCGUAGGUGGUUCGUCACGUCGGAUGUGAAAAUCUGGGGCUUAACCCCAGACCUGCAUUCGAUACGGGCGAGCUUGAGUAUGGUAGGGGAGUCUGGAAUUCCUGGUGUAGCGGUGGAAUGCGCAGAUAUCAGGAGGAACACCAAUGGCGAAGGCAGGACUCUGGGCCAUUACUGACACUGAGGAGCGAAAGCGUGGGGAGCGAACAGGAUUAGAUACCCUGGUAGUCCACGCCGUAAACGGUGGGCACUAGUUGUGGGGACCUUCCACGGUCUCUGCGACGCNGCUACGCAUAGUGCCCGCCGUCGGGAGGUACGAGUCGCGAGAUUAAACUACGAAAGAAGUUAGUACGCGUUGAGNGCGACGACGACGACGACGGAGGAGGAG